ensembl:lncRNA
AUGAGGAAGAGAACAAAUACUUGGCUGAAUGAGCUCUUAGAUGAUGGUGAUGUUUAUCUCCCUGAUCUCGGCACGGUGAAAAGAAUGGCAUGCAGGGGUUGCUGCCCAAGCCUCGGUGCUCCUGGAGAGUCCUGCGUUAGAGGAAGCAGCUGCACGAUCUGCUGUGCCGUGGGGUUGUGGUGGGGAGAACCCUCUCUGGCCUCUCCUGGUGCAGGCUCCACGCUGUCAGUGAGGCUCAGCCACGAAGAUCUUCAGACAGAGGGAGGAGGGGAUCUGAGGUCCACCUUGUCCUCCAUAAAGUCGCUGUGAAGCCAAAAUAAUGGGGUCACAUCUCAAGAACCACCUGCCUUGCCCCACCCACACCAUUCAUGGCCCCCUGCAGGGCUCGGUGGGUCUCCCCACACACAGACUCACCCCCAGUCCCUGGGGUCCUCUGGGAUAAAGCCACUGGGUGAGCCAGGGGCUGGCAGCACACCCUUUGCUAUUCCUGGGCAUUGGCUCCAGCGUCGUUGAAAAAUGCCACCUGAAGGCAAGAGGUGAGUAUUCUUGUAGGGACAUACACAGAACAACCAGGGCAGGGAGGUGGAGCACAGCCCCUUCCCUUGGGGCUCAGAGUGAGCACCUGUUGGUCACAGUGAAAUGGUGUUUGACCACUGGCUCCCGGAAGGAGUGAAAGUCCACAGAAAUCAGAAGGCAGGGAAACCAAGAACAUAAGGGGAUCUGGGAGGGACCAGCGAGGAAGGUGACAAAGUAGGGGCAGGGAAAGUCAGGCUCACCUGACCUCCAGGCUCUCCCGGUCCUCUGGGAUGUCCUGCAUGGGCCGAGGUGCCUCCUCCUCCUCACUGUCCAGAUGUCCUCCUCCAUCUCCCUUCUAGGGGUGGCCAGAGGGGUCCUCAGACAACCCAAUAAGGGAAGUGGGGCCCACCUCUGCCCCCACCCUCACUGUGUAGCCCUGAGCCAGCCCAUUCCCAGAGGGGAAUGAGCUGUUCUGUAUUAUUACUUUUAAGAACCAAGAUCUUGCUAUACUGCCCAGGCACAGUCCCACUACCGAUUGGUGCCGGAGUCCUGACCUGCUCCCUUUCUGACCUGGGCCAAUUCUCCUGUCCUUAGGCAACCUGAUGGCCUCCUGCUCCCAGGAGGUCACCAUAUUGAUACCGAACUUAGCGCGGACACCCGGUCGGCAUAAUGACCAGCUGUGUUAAAGGUGUCUUCCAACUCCUCAAUCCUAUGCUGCUAACAGUCCCCCUUUCCUCCUGAGGCUCUCGCCUCUUCCUCCGAGUGGUCUCCCGUACCUUCCCCAGGGAGAACCAUGAGGCUCAACCUGGCUUUAGCUGCUGUUUCUGCUGGCUGGUAGCUUCCAGGUGCUCCUAAGAGGCCAGGAAAGAGGGUGAGAAGGCACGGAGGUUGCCAGGUUGUCUCUCUCGGGGCCCUGUUCUCAGCAGCUCCCUCCCUGGGGUCUCCUGCAACUUUUGGCGGGCCAUCUUAGCUACCACUUUGCCUUGAGCUUCCUGCUGCUGCAGCUGGUCCAGGAGCUGGGUCUGCAGCAGUAACUGCCUGUGCAGCACCUCCUCCUCAGAGGUCAGCUGCUGCUAAGCGACCACAUACUGCUGCAGGUGACACAGGUACUGGUCUCCCUGCUGCUGCAGACUCUGAGCCUCUUGGCUCUUCAGCUCCACCUGCAGGAUGAUCCUGGGCAUGAGGGCGUUUACUAGCUGGCUUCCAGAUUCCUGGCCCAUUAAUAGGGUAGCAAGGGCACUGUGGUGCUCUGUGGCCUGCCCAGGCCCCUGGUCCCUUGCUCCAGGCCUCAGAGCCUGCCUCCCUUCCCUGGAACCCAAUGCAUCCUUCCCCAGCCUCAAAUCUCACACACUUUUCCCUGUCAUUUAAACUGUAGGCCACAGACUGGUGGAAAACGGGGGGAGCCAACCAGCAUCUGCUAAGUGUACUACAUGACUACUGUUUCCACGUAUUAUCUCAUUUAAUCCUCAGCACCUCUGCAAGGAAAACGCUAACUUCCUUUUGAAGUUAAAGAAACAGAGACUUAGAAAUACAAAGUAGUUGAAUGAUAACCAGUAGAACCGAGUCCGGAAACCAGUUUGAGUCUAAGGAGUCUUUUUGGUUUUUGCAUUUUGUUUUGUUUUGAGACAGUGUCACUCUGUGUCCCAGGCUGGAGUCCAGUGGUGCGAUCUCAGCUCACUGCAACCUCUACCUCCCAGGCUCAAAUGAUUCUCGUGCCUCAGCCUCCUGAGUAGCUGGGAUGACAGGCAUGCACCACCAGGCCUAGGUAAUUAUUUUUUUUGAAAUUUUAGUAGAGAUGAGGUUUUGCCGUGUCAGCCAGGCUGGUCUCAAACUCCUGACCUCAAGUGAUUCUCCUGCCUCAGCCUCCCAAAUUGGUGGGACUACAGGCGUCAGCCACCACACCCGGCCAACUUCUUAUACCACUGUCUCUUCCCCUGUGACUGGGGGGCUCCAUGCCUCUAGCUGGGACGAUGAUAUCCAGACCUGGGGGGAGCCCAGGGCUCCCCACCUCUAAAAGUCAGAGGGAAAGAUGCAAGAAACAGUAAUAGGACUGCCCUGGAGAGUGCUGGGGUCACCUGCCCCCAGGUUGCAGCUGCCUCUGGCCUGGCGCCUCCCUUCCCCAGAGGCUGGUGCCCGCCUCCCAGCCCUUCUUGGAUGGGUCAGAGGUUACCGUGUCUUUCAGCUCGCCCAGCGUCUUCAGCUCCUUUACUUGAGGCUCCAACUGCAGUGCGCUCUUGUUCUCAUUGUUCUGGACAGAGAGAAGCAAUCAUUGGCCACCUGCUAUAACUGAAGACCCCAGAACUUGGUGUCUGCCUGCCAUGGCACCGGGAAGGGUGGAGGCAGGUUAGAAAAAUCAUCCCCUCUCUCCCACAGCCAUCAGAGCAGGGCUCUGGCUCACAGGUGCCUUUAGAAGUACCAUUUCAUGUGAGGACUACAAUGCCCCAUUUUACAGGUGGGGAAACAAAGGCCUGGAGGGCUAGGGAAGAGGGCAGGCUCCCCAGGUGGGGCAACCCACCGGCUCCUCGAAGCUACUGUGUGGCUCCGCCUGCUGCUCAUAGAGGGCUUCCCACCCCAGCUGCAGCAUCCUCUCCAGCUCCCUCCAGCUCCCGCAGUGUCUCCUGCUCCCACAGCCUCUGAUCCUGCUCCCGCAGCCUCUCCUGUUCCAGCAGCUCCUGCUCCAGCCUCUGACUCCCCAGCUCUCCAGCUCCUCCUGCUCCCUGCUCUCCUGCUCCCCUUCCUGCC